CUGGUGUACAACGUUUGAUUAUUUGUCUGUCCUCUAGUACCAAACCAAUGAGCUUUGUGUUAGAGGGUGGAAGCAACUUUUUGAAGAGCAAAUACUACGGUGAAUGUGCUGUUCGAAUGUUGCACAAGCUAUUGUGAAUUGCACUAAGGAUCCUGAUACUGCUGGUCAGGUUUAUCAAGCUGUUGGCUGGAAAAAUUGACCUCCAUGGAAGAGGAAGUACCAUGGGAAUUGCGACCAUAUCGUGCUGCUAUAAUGCCGAAUUGGGGGAGUGGGAGGAAACAGCUCCACCAAAACCGAUAGAACAUCUGGAAGAACUACGUAUGCUUGCAUAAAACAACUAUAAUGCCAACAACGCUAACAACAACACCCAAGCAAAUAAUAAACAACACUCAUAAAAUGAAAGUUGGUGGCGUUGGUGACCAAGUAGCGAUUUGAAAAAGAAACAUUUGCAUAUACGCGAUUUACAAUUAGUCUUUACAUCUAGUGAAUUAUGGUCGAUUAUGAAUGGUGUGGAAGCUGAUAUUUAAACUUUAAAAAACAAAUAAAUGUAAUUUGACUAAUAAUGUACCGCUAUUAAAA